rnacentral:rRNA from 1 species
AACUAGAGUCUUGUAGAGGGGGGUAGAAUUUCAGGUGUAGCGGUGAAAUGCGUAGAGAUCUGAAGGAAUACCGGUGGCGAAGGCGGCCCCCUGGACAAAGACUGACGCUCAGAUGCGAAAGCGUGGGGAGCAAACAGGAUUAGAUACCCUGGUAGUCCACGCCGUAAACGAUGUCUACUCGGAAUUUGGUGACUU